rnacentral:misc_RNA from 1 species
GAAAUGCGAUAAGUAGUGUGAAUUGCAGAAUUCAGUGAAUCAUCGAAUCUUUGAACGCACAUUGCGCCCCUUGGUAUUCCAUGGGGCAUGCCUGUUCGAGCGUCAUUUGUACCCUCAAGCUCUGCUUGGUGUUGGGUGUUUGUCCCGUCUCCGCGCGUGGACUCGCCCCAAAGUGAUUGGCAGCCGGCGUACUGGUCCCGGAGCGCAGCACGUGUCGCGCAAACGAGUGCCUUGGUACGGCGGCGUCCAUAAGCCCCUCUCUCACGCUCUUGACCUCGGAUCAGGUAGGGAUACCCGCUGAACUUAAGC